rnacentral:lncRNA from 1 species
GUAGAUUAAAACCAUUUUCUUAGGAAAGAGAUAUACAUUAAGGUGCACAAUCUGGAUUUGGAUGGAUAGAAAAAGUAGAGGCAUUGGUUUAGUUAUCAAAUGUUCUCAUCACACCAAGAGACUUAGAUCUCAAUCAAUGUUUCCAUAUUGAUAAAUAAAAAAACUUAUAAAGUAGACAAACCGUUGAUAUAAUAUUUCACGUCCAAAGAGAGUAGAUCACCUCAUGAUGACCAAGUUGCUUAUAGUGUUUAGAUUGUAUAGCAUUCAUAUUCUAACUGAAUCUAGAACAUAUGC